AUUGAACGCUGGCGGCAGGCCUAACACAUGCAAGUCGAACGGUAACAGGAAACAGCUUGCUGUUUCGCUGACGAGUGGCGGACGGGUGAGUAAUGUCUGGGAAACUGCCUGAUGGAGGGGGAUAACUACUGGAAACGGUAGCUAAUACCGCAUAACGUCGCAAGACCAAAGAGGGGGACCUUCGGGCCUCUUGCCAUCGGAUGUGCCCAGAUGGGAUUAGCUAGUAGGUGGGGUAACGGCUCACCUAGGCGACGAUCCCUAGCUGGUCUGAGAGGAUGACCAGCCACACUGGAACUGAGACACGGUCCAGACACCUACGGGAGGCAGCAGUGGGGAAUAUUGCACAAUGGGCGCAAGCCUGAUGCAGCCAUGCCGCGUGUAUGAAGAAGGCCUUCGGGUUGUAAAGUACCUUCAGCGGGGAGGAAGGGAGUAAAGUUAAUACCUUUGCUCAUGGACGUUACCCGCAGAAGAAGCACCGGCUAACUCCGU
rnacentral:rRNA from 1 species